rnacentral:lncRNA from 1 species
ACAGCCAAAUCUUUGUGAUCUCAUGUUGAGCGAGAUGGGAGUAAAUAUUCUCUAGCCAUUAGUCUAUAUAUAUAGAUACAGUGCUUCUAGACACCCAAACCGAGUCAGGAGUAAGAAGUUUGUGUCUUCUCUUAUGGAAGGGAAAGCUAUUCUUAUUUGCCUUAUGGUGCUUGUGCACCUAGGAAAUUCCAUUCAUAUUGGUAAGAAAUCCAUCUCCCUGUCCCUAUAUAUGUUUCCUUUCACCUAUCAACCAAAGUAGGAUAAUAUUGUUACUUAAACAUCAUGAAUAUUUUCAUAUUUUUCCCAAUUUGGACUUCCUUAUAUGCUGUGUGUUUUUCUUUACAGAUAAAUGCAAGGAUCUAGUUGCUACUAUCGGUCGUGAGUGCGAUCUGUUAAAAUGCCAGGGGACCUGCAAAGAUUUGUUUGGAGCGGAACUCAUAGCCUCAUGGUGUCUCAACGCCGUCCCAUACUAUUGGCAUUGUUGGUGUCGUGUCUGUUGGUAGAGUUGCACUGAACAAUCAUGUCGAAAUGGACAAAUGAUGUGAUCCAAUAAUAAAAUCUUCCUGUGACAUGCAUCUAAGAAUACAUAAUGAUUGCCAAAUCUAGGUGUUCUAUUCGAUUUUGUCAUGUGUGAUAUUUGAUCUCAUAAUUUUUGGUUUGCAU